GGCGUAAGCGCGCGCAGGCGGUUUCUUAAGUCUGAUGUGAAAGCCCACGGCUCAACCGUGGAGGGUCAUUGGAAACUGGGGAACUUGAGUGCAGAAGAGAAAAGCGGAAUUCCACGUGUAGCGGUGAAAUGCGUAGAGAUGUGGAGGAACACCAGUGGCGAAGGCGGCUUUUUGGUCUGUAACUGACGCUGAGGCGCGAAAGCGUGGGGAGCAAACAGGAUUAGAUACCCUGGUAGUCCACGCCGUAAACGAUGAGUGCUAAGUGUUAGAGGGUUUCCGCCCUUUAGUGCUGCAGCUAACGCAUUAAGCACUCCGCCUGGGGAGUACGGUCGCAAGACUGAAACUCAAAGGAAUUGACGGGGGCCCGCACAAGCGGUGGAGCAUGUGGUUUAAUUCGAAGUAACGCGAAGAACCUUACCAGGUCUUGA
rnacentral:rRNA from 2 species